rnacentral:rRNA from 1 species
AACGAACGCUGGCGGCAGGCCUAACACAUGCAAGUCGAGCGAGGAAAGCCUUCGGGUAAGUACUAGUGGCGCACGGGUGAGUAACACGUGGGUAAUCUUCCUCAGAGCGUGGGAUAACUAGUCGAAAGAUUAGCUAAUACCACAUAAGACCACAGGAUCUGCGGAUCCAGAGGUCAAAGGUUUUUCGCUCUGAGAUGAGCCCGCGCAGGAUUAGCUAGUUGGUGAGGUAAUGGCUCACCAAGGCAACGAUCUUUAGCUGGUCUGAGAGGAUGAUCAGCCACACUGGAACUGAGACACGGUCCAGACUCCUACGGGAGGCAGCAGUAGGGAAUAUUGCACAAUGGAGGAAACUCUGAUGCAGCGACGCCGCGUGAGUGAUGAAGGACUUCGGUUCGUAAAGCUCUGUCGUAUGGGAAUAAGAAAGUGAAUGUACCAUGCAAGAAAGGAUCGGCUAACUUCGUGCCAGCCGCCGCCGUAA